GUAUUCCUACGGGGGGCAGCAGUGAGGAAUAUUGGUCAAUGGCCGCAGGGCUGAACCAGCCAAGUCGCGUGAGGGAUGACGGUCCUAUGGAUUGUAAACCUCUUUUGUCAGGGAGCAAAGGGCGCCACGUGUGGCGUUUUGCGAGUACCUGAAGAAAAAGCAUCGGCUAACUCCGUGCCAGCAGCCGCGGUAAUACGGAGGAUGCGAGCGUUAUCCGGAUUUAUUGGGUUUAAAGGGAGCGUAGGUGGCAUGGCAAGCCAGAAGUGAAAACCCGGGGCUUAACCCCGCGGAUUGCUUUUGGAACC
rnacentral:rRNA from 1 species